rnacentral:lncRNA from 1 species
AUGAUUUGGGGACAACUGGUAUGGUGCCAGUAUUUGACUGUGACCUUUCAGUACUAUUUUUGCCCUUCUGUACUCUCCUCUGAAAUCCUUAUCUUGGCAUCUUCAAACUAUAUUUCCUGGGUUUCCUUGCCAGCUGGCUUCCUAUUAGUUUCUUCCAAUAAUAGAUGCUAUGGAAUAUCAGAAGAUGGGAAGAAGGGAGGGCGGGGCUGUUGUCUUCCUUCUCUCUCUCCCUCUUCCUCCUUGCUCCUCACUCCUCAGCCUCCUCUCCCUAUCCCUCCGGCUCUCCCUUCCUCCUAUCUCUCCUUCUCUCCCUCUGCCUCUUCCUCUUUCCCUUUUCUUCCCUCCCUCUUGACCUUGAUCUCUCCUUCUUUUGGCUUCUUACAGGGUCUCUGGAAAUGGCUGCAUCUCAUUAAUAAACCCAGCAUUAGCCAUGGUGAAUCCCUUUCCACAAUCGUAACACCUGUUGUGCUGCUCCAUCCUUGGCGAACCUCGCACUCCAAGCUGUGCAGAAGCUCUUGGGCUCUGGCACACCCCACCACCCUUCAUUUACUCCAGACCCAUAGCUUGAGUCAGAUCUCAAACACCAUCUGGGACUGCCUCAGGAAGAGAUACUGACGUAUCCUGAGGAAUAUGUGAAGAACAACCCUGCGUCCGCCCUCGCCCUUUCUCACGAAACCAGGAGAGUGAGGGCUCUUUCGCCAGCAGUUCUUAUGUACAAACAGUUCUUUAAAGUUCCUCAAAGUGCUUUUCCAGUCUCUCGGGGCUUCCACAUCCCUUGGCUUCCCAUCCUCUCCUCCUCCCAUGCGUGUCUGGUGUUUGCACCUUUCCUACAGAAAACAAAAGAAAAAUCGCCUUCCGCUCAACGCUCACUCCAGACUUGCCACCGACCUUCAUCCUCAUUCCGUCGUCUCUGAGCGCCGCCAGCACCGAGGGCCUGGGGAGUGCGACCGGCCGUGAGUCCCGGGGGC